ACUGGUGGUCCAAAGAUUUGACCACCAAACUUUUUAAAGGACCGUCACAACUUUGGUUAUUAUUUUGCAACAGAAAUUAUAGUGAGGACCAGCAGGUUUUCUUGUAGGACCACCAGGGAAAAAAAGAUUUCGAGAACUCUACAAGCAUGCAUUCCACAACUCACUGCACUUCUUUUUAACAUGAUGGAGUUGCAAAAAGUUACCACAGUUCUAUGGUCAUGAUGGACAACUAAAGGAGAAUAGUUUCAUUUGUCAAAGGACAACUAAAGGAGAAUAAUUUCAUUUGUCAAAGAACAACUGAAGGAGAAUAAUUUCAUUUGUCAAAGGACAACUAAAGGAGAAUAAUUUCAUUUGUCAAAGAACAACUGAAGGAGAAUAAUUUCAUUUGUCAAAGGACAACUAAAGGAGAAUAAUUUCAUUUGUCAAAGGACAGGAGACUUUCCAUGCCCUAAGGUUUUAAAAGCUGAAAUUGAAAAUAAGAUGCAGAGAACCAUUCAUGAAGUAUAUAUAUGAUACUGAUAUUUACAAUGUUCUCCAGAGCUAUAACUCCAGCCCUUUAGAUUACAUUACACUACUAUUGCUUGCUAAUUCUAUCAUCAAUAGCAGGAGAAGAGAGGAGAUUCAGCACUAUGAAUGAUCUUUGCAAUUUGCUGUGGAUGAUGACUAAAUCAAAUUUGGAUGCAUUGAUGAAAUUCAUAUAGCGAUGACAGUUACUUCAUUGAACAAGAAAAAGCUGUUAAUAUUUUCAAUGGUGCAAAACAAACAAGUUAUGAACUAUAAAAUGAUUAAAACUGUGUUGAGUUUUCAAUUUGUUUAAAAAGUGAUAACAUUUACCUAAUGAAAUAUAAUGAGCACCAAAGAUGCUAUCAUUUGGAUUGAUUGUAAAGUUUACAUGUCUGACUGGCAUGUUUUAUUUGCCCUUGAACUCAUGUUCAUGGAUCAUUAGUCAGUGUAAUGUUUCAAAUGUUGGAUCCUCUUCUAAGAUACUAUAAACAAAAUGUCUAUAAAUGUCUAUUUGGUUUAUGGUAUGAUUGUAAGGUGUACAAGUCUGUCUAGCUUGUUUUUAUCUGACCUUGACCUCAUUGUCAUGGAUCAUUAAUAAUAUUUAACUUGUAAUAAACUUUUAUCUUUAAGGCUAAUAAUGUAAAUCAUUCAAGCAGGCAACACAUUUCAGCUUGUUUUAGACAUCAAUAACUUGGUGAAACUUUCUUAAUUUUUUUUUCAAAUCUUUAACAGAUUUUUUUUAUGAUCAAAAGAAAGUAUUCAGUGCAAAAUAUUUUAUUUAAUGUUGCUGUAUUUUUCUGAUAGGGACUGAGUUUUUUGCAAUUUUUAUAUAAACAUGAUAAAGAUUACAUUCUUGGGUUUAUGCAUAAAAAAACAAGUCAAACAGUCCUAGAAUGUAAAGAAACUUUGGCAGAUUUGCUUAAAAUUGAUGUAUGGAAGAUAUUGUUUGAAGCAAACUUUACAAAUAUAUCUUUCCAUUGUUCA